AUUGAACGCUGGCGGCAUGCCUUACACAUGCAAGUCGAACGGUAACAGGUCUUCGGAUGCUGACGAGUGGUGAACGGGUGAGUAAUACAUCGGAACGUGCCCGAUCGUGGGGGAUAACGAAGCGAAAGCUUUGCUAAUACCGCAUAAGAUCUACGGAUGAAAGCAGGGGACCGCAAGGCCUUGUGCGAACGGAGCGGCCGAUGGCGGAUUAGGUAGUUGGUGGGAUAAAAGCUUACCAAGCCGACGAUCUGUAGCUGGUCUGAGAGGACGACCAGCCACACUGGGACUGAGACACGGCCCAGACUCCUACGGGAGGCAGCAGUGGGGAAUUUUGGACAAUGGGCGAAAGCCUGAUCCAGGCAUGCCGCGUGCAGGAUGAAGGCCUUCGGGUUGUAAACUGCUUUUGUACGGAACGAAAAGACUCUUUCUAAUAAAGAGGGUCCAUGACGGUACCGUAAGAAUAAGCACCGGCUAACUACGUGCCAGCAGCCGCCGUAA
rnacentral:rRNA from 1 species